rnacentral:rRNA from 1 species
AUACGGAGGAUGCGAGCGUUAUCCGGAUUUAUUGGGUUUAAAGGGUGCGUAGGCGGCCUUGUAAGUCAGCGGUGAAAUUUUGCAGCUUAACUGUAAAAGUGCCGUUGAUACUGUGAGGCUAGGAUUUGGUUGCUGUGGGUGGAAUGUGUGGUGUAGCGGUGAAAUGCUUAGAGAUCACACAGAAUAUCGAUUGCGAAGGCAGCUCACAAAGCCAAGAUUGACGCUGAGGCACGAAAGUGUGGGGAUCAAACAGGAUUAGAUACCCUGGUAGUCCACACUGUAAACGAUGAUAACUCGCUGUCGGCGAUAUGCAGUCGGUGGCCAAGCGAAAGCGUUAAGUGUCCCACCUGGGGAGUACGCCGGCAACGGUGAAACUUAAAUGAAUUGGCGGGG